rnacentral:pre_miRNA from 1 species
UUAUCUUAUUUGAAGAUUAAGUGUGUAUUGACAGGUGGUGGAACAAAUAUGAGUUUGUAUAGUAGUCGAACAAAAUGAAACUCAUAUUAGUUCUACCUCCUGUUGAAGCCCACAUUAAUCUGAAUAAGAUUU